GGGCGCUUGGUUUAGUGGUAUAACGUUCGCUUAGCACCAGGAAGCUGCGAAAGGUGCGGGGUUCGAUUCCCCGAGUGUCCA